GAGUAGAUUACUGAGUAGUUUGGUUCAUCAGGCUGACCUCCAGUCUUCAUGGAGGAGAUUACUGAGUAGUUUGGUUCAUCAGGCUGACCUCCAGUCUUCAUGGAGGAGAUUACUGAGUAGUUUGGUUCAUCAGGCUGACCUCCAGUCUUCAUGGAGAUUACUGAGUAGUUUGGUUCAUCAGGCUGACCCCCAGUCUUCAUGGAGGAGAUUACUGAGUAGUUUGGUUCAUCAGGCUGACCUCCAGUCUUCAUGGAGGAGAUUACUGAGUAGUUUGGUUCAUCAGGCUGACCUCCAGUCUUCAUGGAGGAGAUUACUGAGUAGUUUGGUUCAUCAGGCUGACCUCCAGUCUUCAUGGAGGAGAUUACUGAGUAGUUUGGUUCAUCAGGCUGAUCCCCAGUCUUCAUGGAGGAGAUUACUGAGUAGUUUGGUUCAUCAGGCUGAUCCCCAGUCUUCAUGGAGGAGAUUACUGAGUAGUUUGGUUCAUCAGGCUGAUCCCCAGUCUUCAUGGAGGAGAUUACUGAGUAGUUUGGUUCAUCAGGC
rnacentral:lncRNA from 1 species